ACGGAAUACCGUCAUCCACCAGCCGGCGACGGAGAGCGCCCGUUGAACCCCAAUCAGCGAGAUGGGAGACACCUGGCUGGACAGCCAGGAAGACAUUUUAAAAGGAGCAUGAGGACUGGUAUUUGGGAGGAACGGGAGCGAGAGAGAAGGAAGCGCUCGGGUCUGCGAGCGACUAGAGGCUCACGGAGGGCCCAAGAGACUGUCUAUCAUGGAUAUUUAACUGCAGUUCUGUGAGUAUCCCAACGUAACCAUGAAGAUGAACUGCAAACUGUAAGUCAUUAAUUUCUCAUUACUCUUGGGCACAUUGAUGUAUUUUGGCUUCCUGGUGAGUUAACCUGUUACCUGAAGGUUGUUCUGAGUAAGGAUGUUUUAUUGGUUCAAGGGUUACUUAGGUGUUUGGUUUAUGUUGGUUUUAAUGAUUUGUUAAAAUGGUUACAGGCUCCAGUGAAUUGUAGUAAUGGGUUGGGUUCUGAUAUCUUCAGUCUUCUUUCAUUCUACUCUGCUCUGCAUCUUCAACACAUGAGUGUUGCUUUACUGAUGAGGGUGUGGUCUGAGCGAGCGGAGGUGCAUACUGGGAUACAGAGCUGUCUGAAGUCUACAGGUCUGUAGACACGCCCCCUCAGGGGAAACCGAGUGUUUGAGAAACCGUCGUGACGUCAGUUACAUGGACUGGAAUGUUCUUUAAAAUGGACUCAGGGAUUCAGAAGGAGAAACACCAGGGGGAGAUGAGGGGGCUCUUCAUCUCAACGACUAAAACACAACUUCAGUCUGACAGAGAACCAUGGAACACAUUCAACAGUCUCCUCCAGGCAUCGUGACUCCUCAGGAACAGUUUCAUUUCCAAGAAGGUCUUAUUUGGGGCCAUCCCCAUAUGGAUCCUGCUCCUCAAGAGCCACCCCCCUCCACUGGGUGGUCUUCUGAACAGAUUACCUCCUUCCUGUCCUCAGGCUGACUAAAGCUGCACCGUUUGCAUCUGUGAAGGCCCGUCAUUCAGGAAAACAAUGGACUACAAAGGCAUGACCUCAGAGACGUUGAAUCAACCUGGGACACAUUUUGGAGACGCCAAGCAUAAUCAAUCACCAAUGUGGGACGCCACUGAAGAAUGUUGUACAUAAUUUACGUCUCUGGAGACAUUGGUUGUUCUGUUAUGGGUGCCCUGGCAGGAGAGCUGGGGGGAUGAUGGAAUGUUAUUUGGCAUGAGGUUUUUACCCUGCGUGAUUGUUUGGCCUUUUAUGGCUCAGUGGUGUGUGUUUGGCAUGAGAGGGAUGAUUUUUGAGCAUCGCUAGGGUUCUAUUGUGUGUGUGUGUGUGUGUGUCUCCGACUCACACCUGGCAUGGGGUUCUACGUGCCUGUCCUGGGUUCUAUGUGUGUGUGUGUGUCCGGCUUGCUUUGACAGUGAUAAUGUCCAUGCGGGGGUCUGUGUGAUUGGCCUGGGAUAUUGGAAUGGUCAAAUAAAUCAUACCUGAUGGACGGCCACAUGUCUACUUAAGGGCCUCCAGUAGACAUGAAGAGCCCUGAGCGACGCUCCGGAGUGAUAUCCAACACACUGGGCAGGAAGGAGAGUAUCCAAAUCAAGUGUAAAAGGAUGCAAGCGGCGUGUUCAGAUCAGUGACUUCAAACUAGGACUACACCGAUCAGGAUCAAUGGAGGAUGGACACCUAAAGGCAUUCCACAAGGAGAGUCUGACGUUGGAAAGGGACCGAAAUGGAUAUUCAAGAUGACCUUCAGACCUGUAAUCGGACGGCUCUUCCUACCUGGCUGGAUUGAUGGAGAGCCCUGUGGAUCUUGUCUUGCUCUCAGUUGCACGUCUUCUCAGGCUGAACUGUAUUUGUUUCGGACAGGACUAGCUGAGCGAUUGGUUCCCUCAAAUCAGAACCACUCCGGGAACUCCAGCUAGUGCGCUCUUCAAGCUGAAGUUGCGCUCUUCAAGCUGAAGUUGUGCUCUAACCUCCUCUUGAGGAGGUAAGGAAACCUUCGCUGGGGCUUCAAGGUGUAAAGAGGUGACUGUUUGAAAGUGUUCCAUGGUACUCUGAUGAAGACCGUUGUUGUGUUCCACUGGCUGAGAGGAAGAACCCACACAUCUUCCUCUUGGCCUUUCUCCUCUGAGAAUCCUGGUGCCAUCUUGAAGGAUAUUCCAGCUCAUGUAACUGAUGUCACGACAGAUUCUCAAACACUUGGUUUCUCCUGAGGGGCGUGUCUAUAGAACUGAAGACUUCAGACAGCACUGUAUCCCAGCAUGCAUCUCUGCUCACUCAGACCACACCCCCAUGAGUAGGAUGCAACACUCUAGUGAUGGAGAUGUAGAGUUUUAUAAGUAAUGAGGGAGCAGACAAAGGUGAUUAGAACACAAUGGAAUGUCUGUAAAUCUUUAAACCAUGAAGAUGGUUGGUUAGUUCAAGAAUUGGGCUUCUUUUUAUCAUUGGCAGUCCUUUCACUCAGAAGCCCACUUCUCACUGGAGCUGUACAUGUGUUGGCUGGCUGGCAUGAUUUGCUGUUGGUGAUGAGGCGGUCAGGGUGACAUUGCAGGGCUAUGGUCGGCUCGCUGUGAGAUCAACGUUUAGAUUUGCUCUGUAUGGUUUUUACCCUGAAUAAACUAGAUAAUUGUAAAAUGUAGACACGCUUUUGUAUUGACUGAAUCCAGGAUUUUAUGUUUAAAGUUGUUGUGGGACGAACAUGGUAGUUUGGUUCUUCGUACGGUUUUAAGUGAUAUAACUUGUACACACUGGGUGCGUAAUAAUGUAAAGGUACACUGAAUAGUAUUAAUGACCAACAGCAACAAACAGAUCUCCUCAAGGUAAGUCUGUUGGCUGUGUUUUAAUGAAGACCAUCGCUGGACUUCAGGAUCUUCCUCCGUUCAGCUCAAGGUGAGGCGCUGGUUCUGUUUUUCUUUGGUUGGUUCCGGCUGGAAUGUUCGGAUUCCAGUCGGACGGUUUGUGCUUCCCGCCGUGGAAGUUUCUGAGUGCGGUCAUUUGAUUUAGUCCCAAUGGUUAGCAUAGAACGUUGUAGUCUUGAAAUCCAUAAGAAACCACCUGGCAGUUAGUUGGACGGGAGUCCCCUGAGGGGAAUCAGGCGGAACGUUCUGGAUUGUAUUUGCGUAACCUCAAGCCGUUGCCAACGGAAAAUAUUUUUCAGUCGGUUUCCAUUUGGAAUGGUUGCCCCUAUCUUAAACAACAAGUUUGAUAUUAAAUACAUACUGACACGUACGUCGUACAAUAUGUUGAUAAUUUCCGAUGGUUGCGCCGUACUUUUAACCACGAUGACGGGACUCUCACUGCGUACAAAACGGCGUUCUACUUGCGGGCCCAUUUUUGACAUCAGUGAAGGCUGAAGAUAAUUUCAAGGUGGAAGAUAAUUUGACAUUUCUUCAACGGAACGCAGCACCUGAAUAUGGCUGAGUAUAUUUGAUUUAAUAUCAAUACUGCUUAGUGUUCUUUGUUACUUCAGCUUUUGUACGUUCUAAAUAUCUGCGGUCAUUAAUUGCCACAGAAGAUAAACCCUACCCAAUGGAAUGACGUUAAAUAACGACUUUGGUGCAGAGUUACCAACUGGAUAAUAUCAAAGCUAAAAUAAUGGCCGUCCUUCCCACAUGUUACAGUAGAAGAUACUCGAGAACUGUACAAGGUUAAAAAGGUAACGUGUAGUUUGUCCAAAGGUGUCUUCCUCCUCACCCAGAGCAAGACCUCCACCUCCUCACCCAAAGCCAGAUCUCCACCUCCUGUCAGAAGUCCUCCAGAACAGGUCAGUGCUCUGGUGUGUGAGUAGAGUCUUCUCAGACCAGGAAUCCAUGUCUGGAGGAGCCGAGCUGAUGGAGGAGCCGUGCUGAAGGAGCUGAUGGAGGAGCCGUGCUGAUGGAGGAGCCGUGCUGAAGGAGCUGAUGGAGGAGCCGUGCUGAUGGAGGAGCCGUGCUGAAGGAGCUGAUGGAGGAUCCGUGCUGAAAGCCCUGCCUGGUGGAGGAGCUGCUGGAGGGCCUGCCUGGUGAAGGACGUCUGUCGUGGGACCAGGACUCUGUCUGAGGAGAGCUGCUGGAGGAGCUGAGACGCUGGAGGACGACUAGGAGUCGACCAACAAGGAUUCCUCAACGUGUUUCUGGAGCGGAGGCGAGCUGAUGGAGGAGCCAAUACUCUGGAGGACGACAUCACUCUACCAACCAGGAUCCUCAGACAAAUUGCGUUUGUAACCAGACCAGGAAUCUGGAGGACUGAUGGAGAAGCCGUACAUCUGGAAGGCAAAUCCUGAGGAGAACCAGGACUAUAUCUAUCUGGACAUAGUGGACUAGACACACCUGAGCUGAACCUCACCUGAUACUGUUUGGUCGGGGGUAGACACAGCUGAGCUGAACCGCCCUGAUCCUGACAUCCUGCUGGUCCCGUCUCCUCAGUUCAUCUGAGCCUCGUCCUCCAGAAGACCUGCUGAGCUCAGCAGUCUGAGGCUGAUGGAUCAAUGACCUCCAGUGGGAGUGAUCUUCUUGACCCCACAUGUAACCGUGUGCUUCCACACGCCUUUCCCUCACGUCUGUCACUAACCUCACUACUUCACUACUCUCUACUGCUUCCUCUUUUUUUCCUUCUCUGUGGUUCAAACCUUUACACUGAAGACGCGUCUUCCUGCCCUCAGAGGGUUCAGCGUUAGGGUUGAGAGUCAGGGUUUAGUGUCAGGGACAGAGCUGGUCAGGGAGGUCUGCUUUUACACAAACCUCUUCACUUGCUUUCGGAAUGGUGGUGACAUUUUGAAAAGAUUCAUUUGGGAAAAAGUUUUCCUCUGCUUUCCUUUACAAAAUUGUGUUCAACUUCUGUCAAGUGUUUUUGUUUAUAUAUUAAAAUCCCACAUUGACUUCUA